rnacentral:rRNA from 1 species
GACAGAGGGUGCGAACGUUGUUCGGAAUUACUGGGCAUAAAGAGCACGUAGGUGGUCUGCUAAGUCGUGUGUGAAAUCCCCCGGCUCAACCGGGGAAUAGCGCUCGAUACUGGCAGGCUCGAGGUGGGUAGGGGUGAGCGGAACUCCAGGUGGAGCGGUGAAAUGCGUAGAUAUCUGGAGGAACACCGGUGGCGAAAGCGGCUCACUGGACCCAAUCUGACACUGAGGUGCGAAAGCUAGGGUAGCAAACGGG